CCUUGCUUUCCACCUGACAGCAGGGCAAAGGCCUUUGCAAUGGGACUGCUGCUGUGUUCCAGGCAAAUGGGGUUACCUGUGGGAGGAACAGCUGUGGCACUCCUCCCACACUCCUGCUUCUUCCUGGGAAGGGCUCAGCUCUCCAGACAGCCCAGGAGGUCCUGCACCCAGCAGCAGUUCUCAAAGCCCAUGGAUGUCACCAGCCAGUGGGGAAGGAGAGUCUGUGCCUGCAGGUUGGCUUUGGCUGAGGCACAUCCAGUGCCUGAAGCAUCUUUCAUGGCACUCUGAGGAGAGCAUGCUGCUGCUGUUCCUUUUUAGGAGGAAUCUGGUUUUGCCUGGGCAGGAUUUAGCUGCAUUUGCAGCAAGGCAGGACUUGGCCUUCCCUCCACACGAUAUUCCCGGAGUUUUGCUGCCAUGCCAAGAUCUUUCCAGAAAUCCAGAGUUCCCUGCCUGCCAGCCGGGAUCAGCAUGGCACAUUCCAGAAGAGGGGCCUGACCCAGGUAAUUUGGGAAGGGCUGAGGGAUUUUAGGAUUCUCCAAAUCCAAGGGCACAGGGACACCCUGGAAGCACC
rnacentral:lncRNA from 12 species